rnacentral:misc_RNA from 1 species
GUGAAUCAUCGAAUCUUUGAACGCAAAUUGCACUCUCUUCGGAUAGUAUGCCUGUUUGAGGGGCAGCCUAAAAAAAAUCGACAUAGUUACUUUUACGCGGUAACAUUCGUCGGAACUUGGGUCACCUUUAACCCUGGGGUUUAGGCGGCUUAAAAUUUUCUUUACAAUUCCAAGAACGUUACUAGGAAUUUAUUUUCUUAUACGUUUAAAGUAUCAAUCUUUAUUAGUCGUGUCCGUUGCAU